rnacentral:rRNA from 1 species
UACGUAGGGGGCAAGCGUUGUCCGGAUUUAUUGGGCGUAAAGAGCGUGUAGGCGGCCAGGUAGGUCUGCUGUGAAAACUCGAGGCUUAACCUCGAGAUGUCGGCGGAAACCAUCUGGCUAGAGUCCGGAAGAGGAGAAUGGAAUUCCCGGUGUAGCGGUGAAAUGCGCAGAUAUCGGGAAGAACACCCGUGGCGAAGGCGGUUCUCUGGGACGGUACUGACGCUGAGGAGCGAAAGCGUGGGGAGCGAACAGG